rnacentral:rRNA from 1 species
UACAGAGGGCGCGAGCGUUGUCCGGAAUCACUGGGCGUAAAGGGCGCGUAGGUGGCCACCAUAAGGCCCGCGGUGAAAGUUCGGGGGCUCCACCCCGGAUCGGCCGCGGCGACUGUGGGGCUUGGGUACUGUAGAGGCAGAUGGAUUCCGGGUGUAGCGGUGGAAUGCGUAGAGAUCCGGAAGAACACCGUGGCGAAGGCGGUCUGCUGGGCAGUGGACUCGAGGAGAGUCCUUCAA